UACGGAGGAUGCGAGCGUUAUCCGGAUUUAUUGGGUUUAAAGGGUGCGUAGGCGGCUUUUUAAGUCAGCGGUGAAAUUUUGCAGCUUAACUGUAACAGUGCCGUUGAUACUGGGGAGCUAGGAUUUGGUUGCUGUGGGUGGAAUGUGUGGUGUAGCGGUGAAAUGCUUAGAGAUCACACAGAAUAUCGAUUGCGAAGGCAGCUCACAAAGCCAAGAUUGACGCUGAGGCACGAAAGUGUGGCGAUCAAACAGGA
rnacentral:rRNA from 1 species